GGAAGGGGCACAGGAUGUUGUUACACUUGGCUACCCACUGGCACAAUGGCCUCUGAAAUUAGGCCCGGCGCUAGUUAAGCCCCUGUUUGCCUUUCAGAUGCUGGCACAGCGGGAUUACUACCUGUGCAGCCAAGGCUUACAGCCCAUUCACGUGCUGGAAGGAGUUUCAGGAGAAGGAGGUUUACACAAGGCGUGGAGAAGCAGAGGGACCUUGCUCCUUGAAUCGCUCGGUUGUAUCGCCAAAGAUGAGUUUGUUGUUCUUGGGUCUUUCGCUGCUUUCUCUUCUCUCAAUGAUAUGUGAAAAUAACCCAUAAAAAUACAGAGAAUGACACUUGGUCACCUGGCCUUAGACUGCACUGGAGAGCUCCAUAGCUGCAGAGGAGAGACCAGGGCAGCAUCCAGCCCAGCUGUGGAGGGCGGUCCGAGUCCACCGAGGAGCCGCACUGAGCAUGCCCAGUUGCUCUUUCCCAACCCACCAAUCAGAUAAGCUCUUCUCCUCCC
ensembl:lncRNA